GGGUAGCAUCAAUAGUUAUGAAUGUUCCUGAUAUAAGCUUCCUACAAAAACCUGCUGGAAUUCCUGCAUGUAGUUCUUGAGCUUGAUCUACAUGUCUCAAGUUGCAGACACAUGA